UUUAAGGGCAACCAUAAAUUUCCGUGUCUAACUUUGAUGGUCCGUCUUAUUUAUUUUUUUAUAAUUAGUAUUUUUAUUAUUAUAAGAUAAUAAAAUAUGAAUAGUAAUUUUAUGCAUGACUUAUAUUCUCAACUUUUUUAAAAAAAAUCAAAUAAAACGAACGAUCAAAGUUAGGCCACGGAAAAUCAUGGCUACACUUAUA
rfam:Oryza barthii chromosome 1, whole genome shotgun sequence.